rnacentral:rRNA from 1 species
UGGGGAAUAUUGGACAAUGGGCGAAAGCCUGAUCCAGCCAUGCCGCGUGUGUGAAGAAGGUCUUCGGAUUGUAAAGCACUUUAAGUUGGGAGGAAGGGUUGUAGAUUAAUACUCUGCAAUUUUGACGUUACCGACAGAAUAAGCACCGGCUAACUCUGUGCCAGCAGCCGCGGUAAUACAGAGGGUGCAAGCGUUAAUCGGAAUUACUGGGCGUAAAGCGCGCGUAGGUGGCUAAGUAAGAUGGGUGUGAAAUCCCCGGGCUCAACCUGGGAACUGCAUCCAUAACUGCUUAGCUAGAGUACGGUAGAGGGUAGUGGAAUUUCCUGUGUAGCGGUGAAAUGCGUAGAUAUAGGAAGGAACACCAGUGGCGAAGGCGACUACCUGG